UCCCUCCUUCUCCCCGCCGCCCGGCGCUGGUGUCUGGCGCGGGCCUCGCCUACCCCAUGGCGUCCUCCGGGACGGGAGGAAGGCGGCGGAGAGCGUCCCAAGGGCUCGGCAAGGCCGUCAAAUGCCUUUGUCCGCUGUCCUGCCGCGCUCGGCUGCUACCGGGCGGGGCAGGAGGCAGAGCAGAGGAGGCCGUGGCGCUGCCCCCCUUUGCUGGGGAACUGGAGUGGGGCCUUGGAAGGCCUGUAGGUAUCCCACUUAGAAACUUCUUGACUGAAACAUUCUAAAGAUGUAUGAUCACACCUAAAUCAGAAACAAUGCUCAGGAUUUCUGAGGAAUUAACACCACCUUCCACCUUCUGCUAGAAGGUCUCUCCAGUGUGUUGAUGCUUCAUGAAUCUAUGGGAUAAACAUCUUGAGUUAAGAGGUCCUUGUAAAUUAAUUGAUCUCCAGGGAGGAAAAGAGCACCUGGAAGGGAUUUGUAGUGGCAGUGCAGAUCACAUCAGCUGAUGGUUUGGUGAGUGGCUGAUCCUCAGUUCAUACUCCAUCCCUGCAUGCCUUGCCUGUCAUGGAUUGGCUUGGAGGUGGAACUGAACCAAUCAAUGGCUAAAACCACAUCUUCAAGACCAUGUUUAAACAUGUCAUUUGUCAGAACUGAAGUUUCCUAAUAAAAACUGCUGUGAUUUGCUUCUAUGUCUGUGCAUUAAUUGAAAUAAAGCAUAAGAAUGAUACUGGAA